AUGCCUAGGUCUAGCCGCCGCCGCCGCCACCCCUGCUCGCCGGCGGUCGGGCCACUGGGCGAAGACGACCUGCUCCGCGAGAUCCUCCUCCGCCUGCCUCCGCAGCCCUCCUCCCUCCCCCGCGCCUCCGCCGUCUGCAGGCGCUGGCGCCUCCUCCUCUCCGACCCAGGCUUCUCCCGCCGCUUCCGCAUCCACCACCGCCGCGACCCACCCCUACUCGGUUUCUUCGUCAGAAAUGAAGAUCUGCCCUUCCUACCUGCUCUCGACGCCCCGGAUCGUGUCUCCCCCGGCCGUUUCUCCUUGCAGCGCGGCGACGGCGACGGCGACCGGUUCAUGUCCCUUGGAUGCCGCCAUGGCCUGGUACUCGUCGUCAACAAACCUAAGAACCAGAUCCUGGUGUGGGACCCCGUCAUCGGCGACCAGCACCGCCUUGACGUGCCCCCGGGGGUUGCGAUACAUGCAGAGAAGACACCGAUCAACGGGGCGGUGCUUCGUGCUGCUGGAGACGAUGCCCAACACUUCCAAGUGGCGUUGACAGUGGCAGACAACGAUGACAAGCAACACAGACGAGCGCUUGCCUGCGUUUACUCCUCAGAGGCUGGCGCAUGGGGUGAACUCGUCUCAACACAGCUUCCAUCUCGCGUUCCAAUGAGUAAUGUUGGCACCUUCGUUUCUACUUACAAGCCUACCGUGCUGAUUGGGGAUUCCCUUUACUGGAGGCUUGCUGGGAAUUUUACCGGAAUUCUUGAGUUUGAUUUGGAGAAGCAAAGCCUAGCUGUCAUACGGUUGCCAGUGCAUAUCCUUGAAGACGGCCAUUGCCUAUUCUCGAUUAUGCGCGCAGAGGGUGGUGGCCUUGGUUUACUCCUCCAGACAGACCGCAGCAUCCAGUUAUGGAAGAGGAAGACUGAUUGUGAUGGUGUUGCUUCAUGGGGUCUUGGAAGAACCAUUGAACUGGACAAGCUACUUUCUCUGAAUUCGGAGGAGAAUGACAUAAUAAUACAAGGGCCCAUGGGGGAAAAUAAUGUGGUGUUCGUAUGGACACAUCACAUCCUCUUUACGGAAAAAAAAUCCUUUAGUGGUGUAUAA
rnacentral:rRNA from 1 species